GCGAUGGUGGUAUAGUGGUAUAGUGGUGAGCAUAGCUGCCUUCCAAGCAGUUGACCCGGGUUCGAUUCCCGGCCAUCGCA